UGGCGAAGGCGGUUUUUUCGCUACGACUACGGCGCGUCGAGAGAGGAAAGUCCGGACACCACGGAUAAAGGUGCUGGUUAAUGGCCAGGACCCGUAAGGGUACGGAUAGUGCCACAGAAACGAAGUAUAGGCCCCGUGAAAACCGUAUGGUUUUUUUACUGGGUGCUAUAGUGAAAAGGGUAAACCCCACCUGGUGCAAGGUCAAAUAGGUCCCGUAGAAUAAACACAUCCAUAUGGGUGUUGAUUCGAUUACUGAUUCGUUAAUCUUGAAAAGGUUUUUACAAAUCUUUUCUUUACGGGAUGGGUAGACCGCAAAGAGCCAUCCAGUAAUGGCUGGCCAAGAUAAAUGAUCAUCGCCUGUCGCAAGGCGGGAACAAAAUCCGGCUUAUUGGUUUCUUUAAGGA
rnacentral:RNase_P_RNA from 5 species